CAGCCGCCGCGGUAAUACGUAGGGUGCGAGCGUUAAUCGGAAUUACUGGGCGUAAAGCGUGCGCAGGCGGUUCGUUAAGACAGAUGUGAAAUCCCCGGGCUUAACCUGGGAACUGCAUUUGUGACUGGCGAGCUAGAGUAUGGCAGAGGGGGGUAGAAUUCCACGUGUAGCAGUGAAAUGCGUAGAGAUCUGGAGGAAUACCGAUGGCGAAGGCAGCCCCCUGGGCCAAUACUGACGCUCAUGCACGAAAGCGUGGGGAGCAAACAGGAUUAGAUACCCCUGUAGUCCCUGUCUCUUAUAC
rnacentral:rRNA from 1 species